AUGGCUGCUGGCCGCCCUAUCUCGCUGCUGCCACGACAAGAUGGCAGGGGCCUCGUGCCGUUGCUAAGCCACAUGGCGAACGCGCGGGCCGCCUUCGACAUGGAGGACUUGUUUGGGAGGCUCGUGCUCGACAUCACUGUGAUAGCAGUGUUUGGCUGGGAUCCGUGCCGCUUGGCCGUGUCGAUGCCACACAUGCACGUUGCCGAGGCCCUGGAUACUCUCAUGGAGGUGGCCAUGCGCCGGCACAUAUUGCCUUUGUCCUGCUGGAGAACGAUGAGAUGGCUCAACAUCGGCCAGGAGAGAAAGCUAGCAGAGGUGGAAGCGGUGUUGUACGGGUUUGUGGUGGAUAGCAUUCAGAGAAAGAUGGCCGGCGACGGCACGAGCACCGAGGAUGACAUCCUGUCCCAUUACGUCGACGACCCCAACCCGGACCCGGAGUUUCUUAACUGGGCCAGAGAGCCCACUGACUUCCUGAUCAGUCCAACACCGGACCGAGGGCAUGCCUCGGCAAGAACAUCUCCGUGGCGCUGGUGA
rnacentral:rRNA from 1 species